rnacentral:rRNA from 1 species
AUGCUCGUGUGGAAUGUGCGGGGCUUGAACUCCCCGGCACGGUGGAACGCUAUUCUCCAAGUAGUGGCUAUGGCCAACCCGGCUGUCGUUUGCUUCCAGGAAACCAAAUUGGAGGUUGUAGCCCCAGAACUAGUUAGGCAUUGCCUCGGUAAUAGAAUGGAGAACUUCUUCUACCUUCCAGCGGUGGGCACACGGGGUGGCAUCUUGAUUGCAUUGGACGCCACCGUGGUGGCGAUGUCAAACCCACACCGAACGAACAACACACUCACGACACUAGUUAAGCCGAUCGAGGGGGGCGAAUGGUGGCUAACCGGUGUGUAUGGGCCUCAGGGAAGCGAGGCCAAGGUUGAAUUCAUGCGGGAGCUGGUGGAGAUACGUGACUUGCAUGCUGGCCCAUGGACGGUGGUAGGGGAUUUCAACCUCUUGGUUAACCCUGAGGACAAGAGCAAUGAUGUGGUAAACCACAGGAUGAUGGCAAGGUUUCGAACUAAGCUCAACCAACUGGAGCUGCGUGAGAUGUACUUGAAUGGGAGAAGGUACACAUGGUCCAACGAGAGGCAGCGACCCACGCUCGAGAAGAUUGACCACGUCUUUACAUCUAGCUGUUGGGAGGAUUUGCUGAUGGGUAACGUAGUAAUUUCAAAAAAUUUCCUAUGCACACGCAAGAUCAUGGUGAUGCACAACAACGAGAGGGGAGAGUGUGAUCUAUGUACCCUUGUAGACAGAUAG